UACGGAGCAAUUCGAACUGAGCUUGUUCUUAUUGCUGUCCAGAUGCAAUGAAAAGAAAAAGAUCAGCUUCAUGAUGUUCUUGUUUUCCCUCCAAAUCAUCAACAUUAAGAUCAAUGACAUGCAUACCAAGCAGUUCGUCGUGAGGAAGAUGUAGGGGCUCACCUUGUAGAUGGGCUUCAGCUUCAUGAAGUUGAAUAUCCUGGAGAUGAGCGAUCUCAUCUUCUUCCUCAUAUGCAGAUUCUUCGUUGAGAUCAAGUGCUUCAUUGAGAUCAUGUAAGAGCUCUCCAUAUUGAUCUGGAAGAAUGUUGAGAUCAGGUAAAAGCUCUCCAUAUUGAUUUGGGAGAACGUUGAGAUCAAUAGGCAUGGCUGAUAUGAAAAUGGGUUGUGGCUGAUGGGGUAUGAGGGAGUGCUGCACUUAUAUGAGGGGGAUUGGUUGGCAAUAGGCGGGAAAAGACUUGGUUCAUUUCAAAUUUGGACCUGCGCGGGCUUCAACGUCAGCCACAAAUUAGCAUUGAGGGAAGCUGUACUUUUUUCUUGAGGACACGUGUGUAGCACUAGAGUUUUCCAGGCCAAACUGUGGCACUCCUUUUGUAUUGACAUGUGUAUAGCAUAGGGACUCAUGGCUGUAAUUUUAUAUUCCAUUUUUAUACACCGUCUGUAACCUGAGCUGUAAUCUGAACUUGUGCAGACCAAUUUUAGAGGGGUAUUUUGGU